rnacentral:rRNA from 1 species
CUACGGGGUGCUACAGUGAGGAAUAUUGCACAAUGGGGGGAACCCUGAUGCAGCAACGCCGCGUGGAGGAUGACGCAUUUCGGUGUGUAAACUCCUUUUAUAUGUCAAGAAAAUGACGGUAGCAUAUGAAUAAGCACCGGCUAACUCCGUGCCAGCAGCCGCGGUAAUACGGAGGGUGCAAGCGUUACUCGGAAUCACUGGGCGUAAAGGACGCGUAGGCGGGUUGGAAAGUCAGGUGUGAAAUCCUACAGCUUAACUGUAGAACUGCACUUGAAACUUCUAAUCUAGAGUAUGGGAGGGGGAGAUGGAAUUAGUGGUGUAGGGGUAAAAUCCGUAGAUAUCACUAGGAAUACCUAAAGCGAAGGCGAUCUCCUGGAACAUUACUGACGCUAAGGCGUGAAAGCGUGGGGAGCAAACAGAAUUAGAUACCCUCGUAGUC